CUGUCUGUCUCUCUCUCUCUCUGCUUCUUCUUAUAGCUCUCUCUAUCUCUGCAGAGAUGAUAACAUCUCUUCUUAUUCAUUCAUCUUCUUCAUCACUUCUUCUAGAAGCUUCCCAAAUCUCUUGAUCGAGAGCUACUUCUACGAUCUGCAAUGCCAAGAGAAGUAACGUCUAUAUUCCAAAUCUCGAGCCUUCCAGCAGGAGCAAGAGCAUCAAGGAGUCAAAGAGCCUUCCUCCAGAAAUUAGAGAAUGAUCUUGCUAUUAUGAUUUCCUUUUCCAGAUUUCUUUUGUAAUUUUUUAAACAUUUUUUUAAACUUAAAUCGCCGAAGAUCUGCCAUUCACACAGGUUCGAUCUCUUGAAAUCAAAGGAAUCCGAGGCUCCUCUCCAAAAGUUCGAUCUCUUUCUCUCUCUAUCUCUCUAUGUCGAUCUUUUUCUCCAAGGGCCUUGUUUUCUCUGUUCUUCGCUGAGAUUUGGGUUUUCUCUGAAAUGAUUCAAGUCCUGGUGCCCCCCGUAACAGGGUUGGGCAAAUUUCACACAGUGUGGUUUUGGGAACUUUCAAUAUUGGGGACCAAGGUGAAGGCAUUGUACCUGACCUUACGCUGAUUAUUGGAGCAGUUCUGAAUUAUGUUGGAGUUGGAAAUGUGGCUACUAGUGGCGGC